rnacentral:rRNA from 1 species
GAUGAACGCUAGCUACAGGCUUAACACAUGCAAGUCGAGGGGCAGCGGGAUUGAAGCUUGCUUCAAUUGCCGGCGACCGGCGCACGGGUGAGUAACGCGUAUCCAACCUUCCGUACACUCAGGGAUAGCCUUUCGAAAGAAAGAUUAAUACCUGAUGGUAUCUUAAGCACACAUGUAAUUAAGAUUAAAGAUUUAUCGGUGUACGAUGGGGAUGCGUUCCAUUAGGUAGUAGGCGGGGUAACGGCCCACCUAGCCAACGAUGGAUAGGGGUUCUGAGAGGAAGGUCCCCCACAUUGGAACUGAGACACGGCCCAG